rnacentral:rRNA from 1 species
GUUCCUGGCUCAGGAUGAACGCUAGCUACAGGCUUAACACAUGCAAGUCGAGGGGAAACGACAUCGAAAGCUUGCUUUUGAUGGGCGUCGACCGGCGCACGGGUGAGUAACGCGUAUCCAACCUGCCCAUCACUUGGGAAUAACCUUGCGAAAGUAAGACUAAUGCCCAAUGACAUCCCACGAAGGCAUCCGAAUGGGAUUAAAGAUUUAUCGGUGAUGGAUGGGGAUGCGUCUGAUUAG